GGUCCUUACUCCUGCACACACCUGCAGUGAUAAUGUGGCUGAAGGUUCACCUUUCUGAGUCUCGGUGGCUAGGUAGGAGUCAUGAAGCCUCAUAAAUCCAGGCUCUCAUAGUCACACGGCUUCAUUAAUAAACUCCUGAGGAUGAGAUGUUAAACCCACACUCCUAAUAGGUUUAUAGCUUUCUGCUUGGGGUUGCUGUCAGGGGGAGGUGUUCUAUUUUUAUCUCUUUUGCCUUUGAUCUGAUUGCUAUUCUGUAAAGGAUCUUGGUCAUCCGGAGUGUAUUUAGUUCAUUCGGCUGGGACACUUCCUUAAUGGUAUAGAGAUAACCAAUUGUACAGUUUAUAUUGGAAUUGAGAAUUUUGUCUCCCUCAAGAAUAUUAUAAUCUUAACUUAUUGUUUGAGGCUCCAUUGCUUUUGGAUAAAUACGAAAAUGUGUUUUCUCUUUCUCUAUUCCAGUGGGCAGUUUUUCAAAUGGACUGUAACAGAAGCUUCUCUGUUUGCAUUGGGAGUCAUCUCAGGUUUGCAUUCAGAAAACCUAAUAAAAAUGAGAGAGGCAAGCAACUGAGCUAAAGCAGAGGAAUGGAAAGAAGUUGUUUGAUGAGGAUUAUGCAGAAUAAUGGCACAGAACUGUCCUUGCAGAAGGACUUGGCAGUUUCUCAGGAAGAUUUUGACGUCCAGCUUGCCUACUCAGCACAUGAAAAGAUGACUCCCACCCUCCCCAAGUCUCGGCCUCAGCAAGCACUGCCUGUGAUCAGAAAAUCCAGCUGUGCACUUGUUAUUUCUCACCUCAUUGCCAAGAAUAAAGAUUCAGCAAUCCUUGCUCAACUGACAAUGUUGCCAGUGACACCUGAGGCAAAGUAAAAGCCAGCUCAGCAGUUCUGCAGCCACUGAGCCUCUGCUGCUGGGGCAGAGCAUGUGUCCAAGCAAGAUGCUCCCUGGCCUGCCUUUUCCUCUUGCCCUUCACUGGGGCCAGUGGGAAAGGCUUCAUUGAUAGUGUACAAAUUUGUUCAAUAUCAGAAUCUGCCCUUUCACUUAGAUUAGAAAAUGUGAUGAGGCAAGUGUUGGGGCAAAUGACUGUUUUGUUUACCUUGGGCCACUGUAGCAGUGAUUUUUAGGACACACAUCCAUAAGUCUUGGUUCUGGCCUUCCUGCCAGACACUCAGGAAAGCAUUAUGCUUAAGAGAAUCAGCUCUGGAUAUAGAUUGAAAAUGCAAGGGGUUGAAGUCUACUGCUCCUGUAUUCUGCUAUAAAUUGUGCAAUCUCCAAGAAAUGAUUCAUGAAGUCCUUCAAUUUUUUAGGAAGUCAUUCAACUUUUUAAGUAACCUGCAUGAGCUCUAUUUAGGUCUUGCAGAGUCCACAAUGGGAAGCCAACAGAGCUGUACCUGGGCUCUAUGGCUCUUCAAAUAACCCACUUUAGAAAGCCCAUCUAGAUUCUGCUUGAGUUUGCCUCCCUGCUCUAUGUAGAUAUGCACAAUCUCUCUAGCUUUACAGAUUACAAUAAAUUCGUGAUCUCUACUGGAAACA
rnacentral:lncRNA from 12 species